UAUUUUGACUGUGCAAAGGUAGCAUAAUCAUUAGUUUUUUAAUUGAAAGCUUGUAUGAAUGGUUUGAUGAGAAAAUAACUUUCUAUAUUUAAAUUUUUAAAAAUUUUAUUUUUAAGUUAAAAAGCUUAAAUUUUUUUAAUAGACGAGAAGACCCUAUAGAGUUUUAUUAUAUUAAUUUUUUAAAUUUUUAGAAUUUAAAAAUUUUAAUUUUUAAUAUAAUUUGGUUGGGGUGACUGAAAAAUUAAAUAAACUUUUUUUAUAUUAUUACAUAGAUUUAUGAAUAUUUGAUCCAUAAAAAUGAUUAAAAGAAUAAAUUACCUUAGGGAUAACAGCGUUAUUUUUUUUUAGAGUUCAAAUCGAAAAAAGAGAUUGCGACCUCGAUGUUGGAUUAAAGUAAAUUUUAGGUGUAGGAGCUUAAAAAUUUGGUCUGUUCGACCAUUAAAACUUUACAUGAUCUGAGUUUAAACCGGUGUAAGCCAGGUUGGUUUCUAUCUUUAUAUAGUUAAUAAAUUUUAGUACGAAAGGACCAAAUUUAUAAUUAAAAAUUUAUAUUUUGAAUAAAAAUAUUAUUUUGGCAGAAUAGUGCGUUAGAUUUAGAAUCUUAGAAUGUAUUUAUAUACAAAUAAUAAUAGAUUUUAUUUUAAUAUUUAUGGUUACGAUUAUUUUAAUAAUCAGAGUUUUAGUAGAGUGGCAUUUUUAACUUUGUUAGAACGUAAGGUGUU
rnacentral:rRNA from 1 species